UACGGAGGGUGCAAGCGUUAUCCGGAUUCACUGGGUUUAAAGGGUGCGUAGGCGGGCAGGUAAGUCAGUGGUGAAAUCUCCGGGCUUAACCCGGAACUGCCGUUGAUACUAUCUGUCUUGAAUGCCGUGGAGGUAAGCGGAAUAUGUCAUGUAGCGGUGAAAUGCUUAGAUAUGACAUAGAACACCAAUUGCGAAGGCAGCUUACUAAGGUGCAAUUGACGCUGAGGCACGAAAGCGUGGGGAUCAAACAGGA
rnacentral:rRNA from 1 species